rnacentral:rRNA from 1 species
UACAGAGGGGGCAAGCGUUGUUCGGAAUUACUGGGCGUAAAGGCGCGUAGGCGGCCUUCUAAGUCGAACGUGAAAUCCCCGGGCUCAACCCGGGAACUGCGUCCGAUACUGGAAGGCUUGAAUCCGGGAGAGGGAUGCGGAAUUCCAGGUGUAGCGGUGAAAUGCGUAGAGUAUCAGGAGGAACACCGGUGGCGAAGGCGGCAUCCUGGACCGGCAUUGACGCUGAGGAGCGAAAGCUAGGGGAGCAAACGGG